rnacentral:rRNA from 1 species
GAUGAACGCUGGCGGCGUGCCUAAUACAUGCAAGUCGAGCGAAUGGAUUAAGAGCUUGCUCUUAUGAAGUUAGCGGCGGACGGGUGAGUAACACGUGGGUAACCUGCCCAUAAGACUGGGAUAACUCCGGGAAACCGGGGCUAAUACCGGAUAACAUUUUGAACCGCAUGGUUCGAAAUUGAAAGGCGGCUUCGGCUGUCACUUAUGGAUGGACCCGCGUCGCAUUAGCUAGUUGGUGAGGUAACGGCGCACCAAGGCAACGAUACGUAGCCGGCCUGAGAGGGUGAUCGGCCACACUGGGACUGAGACACGGCCCAGACUCCUACGGGGGGUAGCAGUAGGGAAUCUGCCGCAAUGGACGAAAGUCUGACGGAGCAACGCCGCGUGAGUGAUGAAGGCUUUCGGGUCGUAAAACUCUGUUGUUAGGGAAGAACAAGUGCUAGUUGAAUAAGCUGGCACCUUGACGGUACCUAACCAGAAAGCCACGGCUAACUACGUGCCAGCCGCCGCAGUAA